rnacentral:misc_RNA from 1 species
AGGAGAGUGUAAAUGUAGUAAUUGGGAGAAAAAGCGGUUGCAAUUCCAAAAAUGGCAUUUAGAAUGCAUACUACUGUGAGAGAUCCUUUUCUUCCCAAUUUUGAAUCUGAAAGGUGACCAAAAACUCCAGCACCAAUCAUACAGCCACCAAAAAACAAGGCCUGAACCAAUCCAACUUUAUACUUAUCACCGCAAAUCAAUCCCCAUUCAGACACUGUCG